CUACGGGCCGCUCCAGUGGGGAAUAUUGCACAAUGGAGGAAACUCUGAUGCAGCAACGCCGCGUGGAGGAUGACACUUUUCGGAGCGUAAACUCCUUUUAUAUAGGAAGAAGAUGACGGUACUAUAUGAAUAAGCGCCGGCUAACUCCGUGCCAGCAGCCGCGGUAAUACGGAGGGCGCGAGCGUUACUCGGAAUCACUGGGCGUAAAGAGCGUGUAGGCGGAUUAAAAAGUCAGAAGUGAAAUCCUAUAGCUUAACUAUAGAACUGCUUCUGAAACUCUUAAUCUAGAAUAUGGGAGAGGUAGAUGGAAUUUCUGGUGUAGGGGUAAAAUCCGUAGAGAUCAGAAGGAAUACCGAGUGCGAAGGCGAUCUACUAGAACAUUAUUGACGCUGAGACGCGAAAGCGUGGGGAGCAAACAGGAUUAGAUACCCGUGUAGUC
rnacentral:rRNA from 1 species